rnacentral:rRNA from 1 species
UGGGGAAUCUUGGACAAUGGGGGCAACCCUGAUCCAGCGAUGCCGCGUGGGUGAAGAAGGCCUUCGGGUUGUAAAGCCCUUUAGGUUGGGACGAAGGUGAUUAGGGGAUAAUCCUAGUCAUUUGACGGUACCAACAGAAUAAGCACCGGCAAACUCUGUGCCAGCAGCCGCGGUAAUACAGAGGGUGCGAGCGUUAAUCGGAAUUACUGGGCGUAAAGGGCGCGUAGGCGGUUUAAUGGGUGUGAUGUGAAAGCCCUGGGCUUAACCUGGGAAGUGCAUCGCAAACUAUUGAACUGGAGUAGAUGAGAGGGUGGCGGAAUUUCCGGUGUAGCGGUGAAAUGCGUAGAGAUCGGAAGGAACGUCGAUGGCGAAGGCAGCCACCUGGCAUCAUACUGACGCUGAGGCGCGAAAGCGUGGGGAGCGAACA